GUAGGGGGCAAGCGUUAUCCGGAUUUACUGGGUGUAAAGGGAGCGUAGACGGACCAGCAAGUCUGAUGUGAAAACCCGGGGCUCAACCCCGGGACUGCAUUGGAAACUGUUGAUCUGGAGUGCCGGAGAGGUAAGCGGAAUUCCUAGUGUAGCGGUGAAAUGCGUAGAUAUUAGGAGGAACACCAGUGGCGAAGGCGGCUUACUGGACGGUAACUGACGUUGAGGCUCGAAAGCGUGGGGAGCAAACAGGAUUAGAUACCCUGGUAGUCCACGCCGUAAACGAUGACUACUAGGUGUCGGGCGGCAAAGCCAUUCGGUGCCGCAGCCAACGCAAUAAGUAGUCCACCUGGGGAGUACGUUCGCAAGAAUG
rnacentral:rRNA from 1 species